UCCCUGGUGGUCCAGUGGUUAAGACUCCAAGCUCCCAAUUCAGGGGACCUAGGUUCAAUCCCUGGUCAGGGAA
rnacentral:tRNA from 1 species